UGAGCAAUCUGCCUAGAUGUGGGGGGAUAGCCGGCCCAACGGCCGGGUAAUACCGCAUACGCUCUCCUGGUGGCAUCACCGGGUGAGGAAACUUUCGAGGCGUCUAGAGGAGCUCGCGGCCUAUCAGCUAGUUGGUGAGGUAAUGGCUCACCAAGGCUUUGACGGGUAGCUGGUCUGAGGGGAUGGCCAGCCACAUUGGGACUGAGAUACGGCCCAGACCUCUACGGGA
rnacentral:rRNA from 1 species